rnacentral:rRNA from 1 species
UGAGCCUACGGGAGGCAGCAGUGGGGAAUUUUGCGCAAUGGGGGAAACCCUGACGCAGCAACGCCGCGUGCGGGACGAAGGCCUUCGGGUUGUAAACCGCUUUCAGCAGGGACGAAUUCCGACGGUACCUGCAGAAGAAGCCCCGGCUAACCACGUGCCAGCAGCCGCGGUAAUACGUAGGGGGCAAGCGUUGUCCGGAUUUACUGGGUGUAAAGGGCGUGUAGCCGGGCUGACAAGUCAGAUGUGAAAUCCGGGGGCUCAACCCCCGAACUGCAUUUGAAACUGUUGGUCUUGAGUAUCGGAGA